AAGAUUUCAUCCACUUUCUCCAUGUAGAAGGUAAGUUUUUUUUUCAAAAGCAUGAAUUUCCAACUAAUUUUAUCAAUGCCUUCUCUAUGUCAAGUUUGAUGAUGAAUCCUUUGGCCUUUUUCAUUCUCCAAUAGUCAGUCGCUUCAUUAGCAAUGAGAAUGGCAUUAGUGAUCUGUCUACCCUUUACAAAAGGCAUCUGGUUUUCUGAUACAGUGUGUGGGAGGGUGGCUUUCAGUCUUUCAGCUAGGACUUUGGCAAUCAGUUUGUAUACAACAGUAGUAAGGCUAAUCGGCCUGUAGUCGGAAGUCUUUGUGCAUUUUUCCUUUUUUGCAACAAGGACAAUAUAAGUUUCAUUGACCGCUUUAUUUAUGAUGCCAUUUGUGUGGAAAUCCCUGAAAAUGUUCAAUAUAUCCACUUUUGUAUACCUCCACGUCUUUUUCAGAAAUUCCAUGGUGAAUCCGUGUGGCCCUGGGGCUUUGUUAUUCUCAAAAGAUUUGAGACAAUUCCAUAUUUCUUGUUCGUUGAACUGUAGACAGAUUGAUGUUUUCGAAGAGUUUGUAAUAGGAGACUAAUCGAGGUUAUCUAUGGACAUUGAUUCUUGUUCUGUCUUUGUGUAGAUGUCUUCGAAGUAGCUGAUGAAAGCUUUCUGAAUAUCAUCAUUAAUAGAGCAAUUUACUCCAUCCUCGUUUAUGAUAUUGGA
rnacentral:lncRNA from 1 species